UACAGAGGGGGCAAGCGUUGUUCGGAAUUACUGGGCGUAAAGGGCGCGUAGGCGGCCUGCUAAGUCGAACGUGAAAUCCCUGGGCUCAACCCAGGAACUGCGUCCGAUACUGGUUGGCUUGAAUCCGGGAGAGGGAUGUGGAAUUCCAGGUGUAGCGGUGAAAUGCGUAGAUAUCUGGAGGAACACCGGCGGCGAAAGCGGCUCACUGGACCGUCUCUGACGCUGAGGUGCGAAAGCUAGGGUAGCAAACGGG
rnacentral:rRNA from 1 species